rnacentral:rRNA from 1 species
GAUGAACGCUGGCGGCGUGCUUAACACAUGCAAGCCGAGCGAAGCACUUAUGAUGAUCCUUCGGGUGAUUCAUUUGUGACUGAGCGGCGGACGGGUGAGUAACGCGUGAGUAACCUGCCUCAUACAGGGGAAUAACAGUUAGAAAUGACUGCUAAUGCCGCAUAAGCGCACAGGGCCACAUGGCCCGGUGUGAAAAACUCCGGUGGUAUGAGAUGGACUCGCGUCUGAUUAGCUAGUUGGCAGGGUAACGGCCUACCAAGGCGACGAUCAGUAGCCGGCCUGAGAGGGUGAACGGCCACAUUGGGACUGAGACACGGCCCAAACUCCUACGGGAGGCAGCAGUGGGGAAUAUUGCACAAUGGGGGAAACCCUGAUGCAGCGACGCCGCGUGAGUGAAGAAGUAUUUCGGUAUGUAAAGCUCUAUCAGCAGGGAAGAAAAUGACGGUACCUGACUAAGAAGCCCCGGCUAACUACGUGCCAGCAGCCGCGGUAAUACGUAGGGGGCAAGCGUUAUCCGGAUUUACUGGGUGUAAAGGGAGCGUAGACGGCUUUGCAAGUCUGACGUGAAACUCCGGGGCUCAACUCCGGAACUGCGUUGGAAACUGUAAGGCUUGAGUGCCGGAGAGGUAAGCGGAAUUCCUAGUGUAGCGGUGAAAUGCGUAGAUAUUAGGAGGAACACCAGUGGCGAAGGCGGCUUACUGGACGGCAACUGACGUUGAGGCUCGAAAGCGUGGGGAGCAAACAGGAUUAGAUACCCUGGUAGUCCACGCGGUAAACGAUGAAUACUAGGUGUUGGGGGACAAAGUCCUUCGGUGCCGCCGCAAACGCAUUAAGUAUUCCACCUGGGGAGUACGUUCGCAAGAAUGAAACUCAAAGGAAUUGACGGGGGCCCGCACAAGCGGUGGAGUAUGUGGUUUAAUUCGAAGCAACGCGAAGAACCUUACCAGGGCUUGACAUCCUACUAACGAAGCAGAGAUGCAUUAGGUGCCCUUCGGGGAAAGUAGAGACAGGUGGUGCAUGGUUGUCGUCAGCUCGUGUCGUGAGAUGUUGGGUUAAGUCCCGCAACGAGCGCAACCCUUAUUGUUAGUUGCUACGCAAGAGCACUCUAGCGAGACUGCCGUUGACAAAACGGAGGAAGGCGGGGACGACGUCAAAUCAUCAUGCCCCUUAUGUCCUGGGCUACACACGUACUACAAUGGUGGUAAACAGAGGGAAGCAAGACCGCGAGGUGGAGCAAAUCCCUAAAAGCCAUCCCAGUUCGGAUUGCAGGCUGAAACCCGCCUGUAUGAAGUUGGAAUCGCUAGUAAUCGCGGAUCAGCAUGCCGCGGUGAAUACGUUCCCGGGCCU